rnacentral:sRNA from 1 species
UCCUGUACAAGAACAAUAUCCAGGUCGA